UUAAUGGUGAGUUUAGUGGUUUUAGUGUUUGACUAUGACUCUGGAGACCAGGAUUCGAUUCCCUGCUUGGCUAUGAAA